ensembl:lncRNA
CUUAAACACGUUAGUGAUCGUUGAGUCAAAAGCUAAACUAGUGUAUUCGACCUUUAAUGUUUAGGAGUAUUUAGUAGACUCAAAGGAAAUAAAACCUAUUUAAUAUUAAAUAUGUGACAGAAACAAUCAAACUCAAUAGUGUACUUUCUCACUGUACUACAUUUAAGUAUUUAUUGUAACAAUUUACUACAAAAAAAAAUCUUAAAAUGAUUAAACACAAAUACAGUUAAUUAAAAAAUUGCAAAAACAGAUUUAUACACUUAAUUAAGAACUAGAGGUAUUUUCAAUGUGUUUGUAUUUUUCAUACAGUCAAAUAUAGUAUAUUCACAAACACGAUGAUCGGUUGAUUUAUCAGUUAAUGUUUGCUUCUGUGUUCAUGUUCUUGGUCCCUUGUAGUUAAAUCGGUUUAUGAUUUAUAAGAGUUUGUAUGUUUAAUGACCUGAAAACUUAAAAUUCUUCUUUCACAUAAACGACUCGUCUCUCUACAUUUUCACAUUUUAGGCACAAAACUUGAAAAAGGUUUUGAUUGGUCUCCAUCAUGUUCAUGUUUUAUCAGUGAUAAGUAAAUAUAUUAUUAUCACUCGUUAUUCUGAAGACGCUUAGAAAUAAUAAAAGUCUGAUUUAUUCUCCAACAUCGAAUGAAAGAAAAUAAAUUCAGAUCAGAGCAGCAGAAAAUCUCACACUUCUUACAAGAAUCAGCAAACCUUUGUUAUUUUUACUGUGUGUGUGUACAUGUGUGUGUGUGGGUGUGUACAUGUGUGUGUGUGCGUGUGUGUACAUGUGUGUGCGUGUGUGUACAUGUGCGUGUGUGUGUGCGUGUGCGUGUAUGUGCGUGUGUGCGUGUGUGUACAUGUGCGUGUGUGUGUGCGUGUGUGUACAUGUGUGUGCGUGUCCAGCUGGUUCAUUCAAAAACAGUCAUAUAAACAUUUUCAGAAUUCAGAGUUUUGACACUAGAAGACUUUUAUUCAGAGGACAUUAGCGCUCGAUCCCUUUUGAUUAAUUCAUGAUCAUUUUUCUCAUAUUUAUUUGGUUGACACCGGUUAGCGUAGCGUAGCAUAAAGACGAAGCAGAGGGACGUGGACUUCAUUAUCACCACAUGAGGAGCAGAGGUUCGAUUACAGGAGAGAUUUUAAUUACAGAUGAGAGUGUUUGAAGUGUUAACAGAAUGAGUGCUCACCGCUCUCUCUCUCUCCCUAUUCACUGAGGGGCUCGCUCGCCCUCGUCCUGUGCAGCCGUAUUACCACAUCUGAGAGGACAGACACACGCUCCAUAACCACGAGUGUUUGAAGUGUGUUCACAGCUCUUAGUUACCGAAUACAUCACCCUGUUUCAGUCUUUGCUUUCUGUGGGUCUGAUUGGAUCCCCGUGUGGCGCCUGUGGACCAAUCACAGCGGAGGAAACUGACACUGAACCAAGUGUCAGCAAACAAUAAAUAAGAAACAGUACAAGUUGAAAAGGAAUCAUAACAUGUAACCCUCAGACCAGCCGGUCUCAUUGUCUCGUUGUCCUCGUGGACCAGACCAGCCGGUCUCAUGGUCUCGUUGUCCUCGUGGACCAGACCAGCAGGUCUUGCUGGUCCUUGUAGUCUUGUUGUGCCGUGGCCCAGAAAGAACAGAAGGUCUCAUUUAGCCUCGCUGUCCCCAUGAGGUCCCGGUUAGUCCAUUCAUGAAGGGUCUCUACAUUGUGGUUCAAGAAGUCUGCUCUGACGGUCAAGAUUCUCAAAGCUGAAGUACAAGAGGACACGGACGGACGUAUGGACAGACGAGAGGCUGCUGCCAUCCAAUGGGCUGUCAGUGCUGCUGCAGGAGGGCGGUCUGCUCCUCCAGCAGCCAAUGAGCUGCGAUCCUGCUGGCGUAGAUCACGUAGGACCAUGACAAGACCACCACAGCCAGCAGCACCUGAGGGACGAUAUUAUACCCUGUU